rnacentral:rRNA from 1 species
UACGUAGGGUGCAAGCGUUAAUCGGAAUUACUGGGCGUAAAGCGUGCGCAGGCGGUUGUGCAAGACAGAUGUGAAAUCCCCGGGCUCAACCUGGGAACUGCAUUUGUGACUGCACGGCUGGAGUGCGGCAGAGGGGGAUGGAAUUCCGCGUGUAGCAGUGAAAUGCGUAGAGAUGCGGAGGAACACCGAUGGCGAAGGCAGCCCCCUGGGCUAACACUGACGCUCAGGCACGAAAGCGUGGGGAGCAAACAGG